rnacentral:rRNA from 1 species
GACGAACGCUGGCGGCGUGCUUAACACAUGCAAGUCGAGCGAGGCCCCUCCUUCGGGAGGGUGUCCUAGCGGCGAACGGGUGAGUAACACGUGGGCAACCUGCCCUCAGCUCUGGGAUAACUCCGGGAAACCGGGGCUAAUACCGGAUACGACCUCCACGGGCAUCUGCGGAGGUGGAAAGUUUUUCGGCUGAGGAUGGGCCCGCGGCCUAUCAGCUAGUUGGUGGGGUAGUGGCCCACCAAGGCGACGACGGGUAGCCGGCCUGAGAGGGCGACCGGCCACACUGGGACUGAGACACGGCCCAGACUCCUACGGGAGGCAGCAGUGGGGAAUAUUGCGCAAUGGGCGGAAGCCUGACGCAGCGACGCCGCGUGAGGGACGAAGGCCUUCGGGUUGUAAACCUCUUUCAGCAGGGACGAAGCGAAAGUGACGGUACCUGCAGAAGAAGCACCGGCCAACUACGUG